AGACCCGAAACCCGGUGAUCUAGCCAUGGGCAGGUUGAAGGUUGGGUAACACUAACUGGAGGACCGAACCGACUAAUGUUGAAAAAUUAGCGGAUGACCUGUGGCUGGGGGUGAAAGGCCAAUCAAACCGGGAGAUAGCUGGUUCUCCCCGAAAGCUAUUUAGGUAGCGCCUCGUGAAUUCAUCUCCGGGGGUAGAGCACUGUUUCGGCUAGGGGGCCAUCCCGGCUUACCAACCCGAUGCAAACUGCGAAUACCGGAGAAUGUUAUCACGGGAGACACACGGCGGGUGCUAACGUCCGUCGUGA
rnacentral:rRNA from 2 species